GGUGUCCUUUCUCCCUAACUUCAUUAUUUUCCCUCCAGGGUGCAGCUAAGAUAUACAGAUGCAAGUGGGCAGCACUGAGCGAAUGCCUAGGUUGCCCUCCACUCCCAGCAUCUCCCGCUCCCAAAGGAGGCAGCAUAUAUCGGGCACUCCCCUUGGAACGCUGGAAUAGUAAGGCUUUGUUUUUCUGGAGGUUCUGAAAUCAGUCGCCACACUUACUCAUCCAAUACCCAAAGGCUGAUUUCUCCUUCACUGUGGAAUUUGGGGGCCUAAAGGAGAAAGGAUGGCAGAAUAGCAGAAAGGAAGCUAGCACUGGCCAACAUGCAUUCCCAAGCCUGUCUGCCUACCUGACACCCCUCCUCCCCAAAGAGGAGCACACUGGCUUGGAGGGAUGGAGAAAUUCAGCCUCCUACACCUGAGUAGAAGCCUGAACCAGCCCUUAACUGGUGCUGACAAGGGUGAAACCUGCAGAUUUCAUCUGCUUCCCCAGUGGUCAAGCCACAAGCAGGCUGGAGAGAUGACUCUCUGUAAAAGGAAGUCCAAGGAGGAAGAAGGAGAAGACCAGAUGCAAGGUCUGGGUCAAGCCUCAGCAGAAUCUGGCUUCCCUGUGGGGGAAAGGAGGGGUUAGCCUCAUGCACAAAUCUGCAAAGAGGCCAUUGGUCUCUUUCCUGGUAUGGCAGAAAACAAAUUGCAUGUCUUCAUUCAUUCACUUACCCACUCACUCGUAUUCAUUCACUCAACUCAAGCCCAGAGCAGGGAGAAGCAAUAUAAUUAGGACCUUCAGCUGAGAAACAGAAGGUGCGUUCUUGGGGAGUUGCAUUCUUGGGGAGUUCAUGUACGCAGCAGGACGAAUGACUCAUUCAAGGUCAGAGAAGGAGGCAGCAGCAACCUGUAAGCGCUAGGGCAGCUCAACUGAUAGUAGGGUCACUCUGCCACCCUGCUUCUCUAGAGGUAGGAAAUGGCAGCAUUCAGUUCAACCUGAUGAUCCUGAGCUAACGUAGCUAGCCCAGAAAGCUGGAGUCAGCUUGAAUGGUCACACUGCAGGUCUACCUGGGGUGAGGAAUCAGCCCCUGGCCUUUUGGCAAAAGUCAGCUGCUGUGUAGAUGCCCCAUAGGAACAAUGAGCCCCAGGUUGAUGAGGUACUUCCUGCCCAACCCUGGACUCCAUGCCCAGCACUGACGAUAACCCUCUCCAAAUUCAUCAACAUCAAACAUUCUGAUGCCUGGAGGCUGCACACCAACAGAUCUACAUGAUAGUCUGUCACAUGAUGGGUCACAUGAUGGGUGAGGCCUUCAAUUUGAAGAUGAGGAAGAGGGUAUGAAGGACUGAUUCCCUCUACUCACAGACCACUGUCUGAGCCCCCACAGAUGGCUGGCAGUGCCCUGGCUGUGAAGCUUCCAGGAGAGGAACACAGAUUAUCUAGGGGCUCAGGACAUGCCAGGGCCUAGCGGACACUUGUUUUCUUUCCCUGGAAGCUAAGUAUAUGAUGUAUCCAAUGGUUUCAGCUGGCACAGAAGCUAGGGCACCUGUUGCAGUAAUAACACCUAGUGUCCUUGAGUAGCCAUGGGGGAUGUAGGUCACCCAACAGCAGGCUUAAACAGAAGUCUUGUUUUCAAUUCGGUUAUUGCCCUUGGGAAGACAAGAGCCCCACAAUAAGCAUGCCAGGUGGAGAGCUGUAUUCAAAGACAAGAUAUUCUUCAGGCUAAUCCCAUCUCAACAGAGGAGAAUGCAAACGCCACUUAAGCCAUGGCAUGGAAGGACUGCUGUGGAGCUUAAGUGCUCAGGUCUGAGAUCUUGAGUGUGAGCAUGUGGAAGAGAUGCUCGCACAUCUGCAUUGACUACAGCAUCAUUCCCAGCAGCUGGGUUAUAGGAACAACCCAGGCGUCCCACAACGGAGUAAUGACUAAGGAGAAGGAGGUGCAUCUCCACAAUGACCUUCUUUUACAGCCGCGAAGAAUGGAGUUCUAUCAUUUGCAGGAAAAUGGCUACAACUGGAGAGAGUAUUUUUCACAGGUCAGAACUGACCGGCAGUCAAGAGUCCUGAGCUCAGCUUUCUCCGGGGGAGCAACUGCUGCCAUCAGAAGCUGGAAGGACCCAACAUUGGGUCUCAGAAGCAUCUUAUUCUGCACAUAAAAACUUCCCCUUGAACGUGAUUGUCCCAGGAACCAGACUGGAAAUGUAGUGAGGACAGAGAGCUGAAGUCACCCCCUCUACCCCUUGGACCCACACCAGUCAGAUCCUGUAAUCCUGCCCUGAUAAGUAGCAAUCUAACUCUGGAGUUCCACCUGUCUGAUGCCAGAGCCCAUCCCUCAGGUAACGUAGUGAGGCCGAGGUCUCCUACAGCCCUUCAACAGUAACCGUCUAUUUUGGUUUCUCCCCACCCCACCCCAGCCCCAGUAGCAUGGAACUUUCACAGUCUCUAGCUUUACUCUACUUUGGUAGCUCUAGUCUUGCAGGUGCCACAGCACCUAGUGGGUGCUUACUGGAUGCCGACAGAGCACAUGGAUAAACACCUAUGUAAGGAGGUACUGUACCAAGCACAGGAUGGACUAUCCUGGAUCCUUUCACACCCGAGGACUGAGAUGGUCUAGUUAAUAGUCAACUUGAUGCUGUUCACAGUCAACCUAGGAGACACACCUCUGAGUACAUCUAUGAGAGUGAUUUCAGAGAUUAGCUGAAUGCUGUUUAACCGUCUCUUGAGCAGGAAUACCAUAUCAAACAGAAGGAGACAUCCAUGGGCCAGCAAGAUGGUAUGUAUUGCUGAGACUGGUGACCUGAGUCAAUCCCUGGACCCCACAGGGUACAAGGAGAGAGCCAACUCUUGAAAGCUAUCCUCUGACCUCCAUGUGCUUCCCACACCCCUGUAAACAAACAAACAAAUGUGGUGAUAUAUUGUUUGUGACCUAAUAAAGCCACUGAAGAGCAGAAUGCAAAACUGGCCACAACCACAGAAGCUGGACAGUGGUGGCAUAUACCUUUAUUCCCAGGAUUCAGGAGACAGGGGCAGAUGGACAGGGGCAGAGUUCAAGGCCACCUAGGACUACACAAGAGUGAAUCAGUUUAAAAGAGAAACAGAAUUCAUGCCUUUAAUCCCAGCACUAGAGAGGUAUAGAAUAUAGGAGCAGGGCAUUCAAUAUUCAAUCACUGGGCAAUUAGUCUCUAGCCAUGUUGAGGACAGGAUCCCCCUUCCAUCCUUGGUAGAGGUAAGAGCUCUCUGGUGGCUUGGCUGCUUUGCUUCUCUGGUCUUCAGCUUGAACCCCAA